GGAUGAAUAUUGGUCAAUGGGCGUAAGCCUGAACCAGCCAAGCCGCGUGAGGGAAGAAGGCCCUAUGGGUCGUAAACCUCUUUUGUCAGGGAACAAAAGCGAGUAUGUAUACUAGUCUGAGUGUACCUGAAGAAAAAGCAUCGGCUAACUCCGUGCCAGCAGCCGCGGUAAUACGGAGGAUGCGAGCGUUAUCCGGAUUUAUUGGGUUUAAAGGGUGCGUAGGCGGCGAUGCAAGUCAGCGGUAAAAGCCCGGGGCUCAACCCCGGCGAGCCGUUGAAACUGCAGUGCUAGAGAAGGCGAGAGGUACGCGGAAUGCGCAGUGUAGCGGUGAAAUGCUUAGAUAUUGCGCAGAACUCCGAUUGCGAAGGCAGCGUACUGGCGCCUGACUGACGCUGAGGCACGAAAGCGUGGGGGAUCGAACAGGAUUAGAUACC
rnacentral:rRNA from 1 species